GUUUUCUGUGUUUCUCUUGCCAAAGGAAAAAAAAGUCUGCCUACCUACAAGUGGUAGAGGAGAAGACAUACGAUAAAUUCUAAUCAAAACAGAGGCAGGAGCUUAUGAUUGUUUGCCAAUUCCUUAAAUUUUGAAGGUGUCGGAUUGUGAGCGAUGUCGUCCAUAUAAACAGGUAGAGGUGGUGGUUUACCCUACGGUGGAUGUCAUCUAUUCGAUUCCUCUUAUAUCCAACUCGUGAACUUAGCUGAUACAAAACUUUUUAAUAGCACCCAGUUUUUCUGAUUCGUGGUUCCGUCUAUAAUUCAUGUUGAUGUUGACAAGAUUCAUCUAUUUAGCAACACCUUAGGAUGGAAGUGAAUUAAAAGUGAAA